rnacentral:rRNA from 1 species
GGAUCUAGCGGCGGACGGGUUAGUAACGCGUGGGAACGUACCCAAAGGUAGGGAAUAGCCACUGGAAACGGUGAGUAAUACCCUAUGUGCCCUUCGGGGGAAAGAUUUAUCGCCUUUGGAUCGGCCCGCGUUAGAUUAGAUAGUUGGUGGGGUAACGGCCUACCAAGUCUACGAUCUAUAGCUGGUUUUAGAGGAUGAUCAGCAACACUGGGACUGAGACACGGCCCAGACUCCUACGGGAGGCAGCAGUGGGGAAUCUUGGACAAUGGGGGCAACCCUGAUCCAGCCAUGCCGCGUGAGUGAUGAAGGCCUUAGGGUCGUAAAGCUCUUUCGCCUGUGAAGAUAAUGACUGUAGCAGGUAAAGAAACCCCGGCUAACUCCGUGCCAGCAGCCGCGGUAAUACGGAGGGGGUUAGCGUUGUUCGGAAUUACUGGGCGUAAAGCGCGCGUAGGCGGACUGGAAAGUUGGGGGUGAAAUCCCAGGGCUCAACCCUGGAACUGCCUCCAAAACUAUCAGUCUAGAGUUCGAGAGAGGUGAGUGGAAUUCCGAGUGUAGAGGUGAAAUUCGUAGAUAUUCGGAGGAACACCAGUGGCGAAGGCGGCUCACUGGCUCGAUACUGACGCUGAGGUGCGAAAGUGUGGGGAGCAAACAGGAUUAGAUACCCUGGUAGUCCACACCGUAAACGAUGAAUGCCAGUCGUCGGGUAGCAUGCUAUUCGGU